rnacentral:rRNA from 1 species
UACGGGGGGAGCAAGCGUUGUUCGGAUUUACUGGGCGUAAAGGGCGCGUAGGCGGUCAGCACAAGUCAGUUGUGAAAUCUCCGGGCUUAACUCGGAAAGGUCAACUGAUACUGUGCGACUAGAGUGCGGAAGGGGCAACUGGAAUUCUCGGUGUAGCGGUGAAAUGCGUAGAGAUCCCGAGGAACUCCUGUGGCGAAGGCGACUUGCUGGGCCUGCUUUGACACUCAGACGCGAAAGCAUGGGGAGCGAACGGG